ensembl:snRNA U4 U4 spliceosomal RNA
AGCUUUGCACAGUGGCAGUAUCAUAGUCAAUGAGGUUUAUCUGAGGCACGAUUAUUGCUAAUUGAAUAAAUAAAUAAAUUUAACAUGUUAUUGAAUUUAAUUCUCACAACAACCCAGAAGUA